GCUCGGGUUCACUUCUACACUGUGGAAGCUUUGUUCUUUUGCUCUUUGCAAUAAAUCCUGCUGCUGCUCGCUCUUUGGGUCCGCACUGCUUUUAUGAGCUGUAACACUCACCUCGAAGGUCUGCAGCUUUACUCCUGAAGCCAGCGAGACCACGAACCCACCAGAAGGAAGAAACUCCGAACACAUCUGAACAUCAGAAGGAACAAACUCCAGACACGCCGCCUUAAGAGCUGUAACACUCACCGCGAGGGUCCGCGGCUUCAUUCCUGAAGUCAGUGAGAGCAAGAACCCACCAAUUCCGGACACACUGAGAGACAAAUUGUUAUACAUGUUAUUUCCCAUGUCCACAACUCCCUGCAAGGUAAAUACUUGAGAAUUUGGCAGUCACGUUUUUUCCAAAUGGACAGAAAACAUACAAUUGCAGAUGGAUUGGUUUGAAUGCAAGAAGCAGCCAGCAACUGCCAUUCAUGAGGAUCAUAUACAGCCGUGUAGGACGCGCCUGCUUCCCCUUUGCCUUCUGCCAUGAUUGUAAGUUUCCUGAGGCCUCCCCAGCCAUGCCUUCUGUACAGCCUGCAGAACUCGGAGAUGACCUGGAAAUUGCAGAAGCUUCAUGAAAGUCAAGAUUGCCUCUAAAUAGGAUGAAGAAGUAUAGAAAUGAAGCCAAGAUGUCUGUUGUAAACAUUACUUAGUAAUCGCAAGAAAGCUCCAAUUUUAAGAGUUUAUUUUCCAUCCUGCAAAAUAAUGUACCUGUGCUCAAAUCAAAACGUUAGAAUCAAAUAUCUUACUGUCAGUACCAUUUGUAAAACUGUCAUCUCACUGUACUAACCAUGGAGUUUGAUGCUAUGACUGUGGAGACAAAAGCCAGCAUUCCUUUCCUCAAAAGUUAUUUGACUGAAUUCCCACAAAUAUAGUUCAGAAAGCAAGCAGAAAUAGGUGACAUGCACUGAGAGGGGUCAUUGUAGAAGCUCAUGAAAAGAUAACCUAACCCACGUUGAAGGUAUAAUGGAAACUCUUCUGUGAGAGGUAAUAUUGGAGCUCAAUACUUAAGUAUUUGUAAGAAAUACCCAGAUAUAGGAGAGAGAAUGUACAUUUCAGAUAAAGCAAUGUGUAAAAAUACUGAGAUGUUUGAUUAACAUAUGUUGUGUUUGCAUUUGAACAGCUGCAAGUUGCUCAGCAUGUGUCAUUAAGGUGCCUGUGAGGAAAGUAAUCAACAGGGCUGGAAAGUUAGGCAACAGUGAGCGGUAAAGGUCUUAUUAAUUAAAGAACUAUGAAAAUAUAACAGAGGCCAUGAUGAUUCAAAAUUUCUAUGUGGAAAUAUUUUAGGAGUGUCAAACUUGAAUACACAGGGAGGUACUGUUAAGGUAUUAUUUGGAAGAUAAGCUUGCAUAUUAAACAUUCUGUUCUUAGAUAUUCUAAGAACAUUCUGUUCUUAGAAUAUCUGUUUCUUUUUCUGCCAGAUUUGGGAAGAUCCUGACUUUAUAUGAUAUUGAUACAGCCACUCUUUGUUAGGAUUAUUCUUUAGAUAGUAUGUCUUUUCCUAUUAUUUUACUUUCACCAAUAUGUCUUCAUUUGUAUUGUUUAUUUCUAGUAGACAGGAAGUGCAUCGUUGUGUUUUUUUAAUACAAUCUAUCCCUUUUAACUGGACUGUUUAGACCACUUAUAUUUAGUGAUAUGGUUCGGUUUAAAUGUACCAUCAUGCUCUAUGUGUUAUGUUAGUCCCAACUGGCCUUUGUUCCUUAUUUCUUUUUCUCUGCCAUAUUUUAUCAAACAAGACUUAUUUUUAAUUAUUUUAGAUUGAGGGGAUACAUGUGCAGGUUUGUUACACGGGUAUAUUGUGUGAUGCUAAGGUUUGAGCUUCUAAUGAUCUCGUCAUCCAAGCAAUGAACAAAGUACCCUAUAGGUUAGUUUUUCAACUCUUCUCCCCUCUCUCCCUCCAUCCUUUUGGAAUCCCCAAAAGAGGAUUUCUGCUUGCUUUCUGAACUAUAUUUUUGGGAAUACAGUCAAAGAACUUUUGAGGAAAGGAAUGCUGGUUUUUGUCUCCACAGUCAUAGCAUCUGUUCCCAUCUAGCAUUGUUGCCAUCUUUGUGUUUGUGAGUACCCAACGUAUUUGGUUUUCUGUUCCUGCAUUAAUUCAUUUAGGAUAAUAACCUCUAGCUUCAUACAUGUUGCUGCAAAGGACAUGAUUUUGUUUUUGUUUUUUUAUGACUGUGUAGUAUUCCUUGGUGUAUAUGUGCACAUUAUCUUUAUCCAAUUCACCGGUGAUGGGCAGUUGGGUUGAUUCCAUGUCUUUGCUACUGUGAAUAGUGCUACAAUGCACAUAUGACUGCAGGUGUCUUUUCAGUAGAACGAUUUAUUUUCAUUUAGAUAUAUACCCAGUUAUAGAAUUCCCGGGGUAAAUGACAGUUUUACUUCUAGUUCUUUGCAAAAAUCUCCAAACUUCUUUCCACAGGAUCUGGACUAAUUUGCAUUCUCACCAGCAGUGAAUGUGUUCCCUUAUCUCCGCAACCUUGCCAACAUUUGUUAUUUUUUUGACUUCAUAAUAAUAGCCAUUCUACUGAUGUGAGAGAUGGUAUCUUGUGGUUUUGAUUUGCAUAUCUUUAAUGAUUAAUGAUGCUGGGCAUUUUUUUUCAUGUUUGUUGGCUGCUUGUGUAUCUUCUUUUUUGAAGUGUCUAUUCAUGUCCUUUGCCAACUUUUUAUUUGAGUUAAUUUUUUUCUUGUUGAUUUUAAAGAAGAUUCCUGGAUAUUUAAUUUUAUCUCUUCUAUUGACUCAAUUCACCUUUUAAUUUUAUUUUAGCAAAUUCUCUAGAAUUUACAACAUAUAUGUUAUAAUAUUGUUCUAUGUUAUAUAUAAUAUAGUCUUCUACUUCAUGUAUAAUUUAUGUACCAUAUAACGAUAUGCUUCAAUUUUCUCUCCUCCUGUCUUUUCUUUUUUUGUUGUUGUUGGGUUUUAUUUAUUUAUCUUUGUUUUUGUUUUAUUUUCUUCUCUCCUCCUGUCUUUUGUGAUAGUACCCUCAUAUGUUUUUCUUUCAAUAUAUGUUAUGAACCCCACAAUGCAUUGCUUCUAUGUUGUUUAAGGUCAAACUUUUACAAUAAAUUUUAAAAAUGAGAAAAAAAUUAUUUUAUGUUUACCUAUGCCUUUAUAUUUCUAGGCCAUGUCUUAGUUGUUUAGGUCUUAGUUUCAUUUCCAGUUGUUUUCCUUCUGCCCUUCACAUGUGAAGGUUUGUUAUGUAGGUAAACAUAUGUCAUGGGGGUUUGUUGUACAUAUUAUUUCAUCACCCAAGUAUUAAGCCCCAGUACCUAAUAGUUAUUUUUUUCUGCUCCUCUCCCUCCUCCCACACUCCCUCCCCAAGUCGGCUCCAGUGUCUGUUGUUUCCUUCUUUGUGUUCAUAAGUUCUUAUCAUUUAGCUCCCACUUAUAAGUAGCAAUGUGUGGUAUUUGAUUCUCUGUUUGUGUGUUAGUUUGCUAGGGAUAGUAGUCUCCAGCUCCAGCCAUGUUCCUGUGAAAGACAUGAUCUCGGUCUUUUUCUAUGGUUGCAUAGUUUUCCAUACUGUAUCUGUACCAUGUUUUCUUUGUCCAAUCUGUCAUUGAUGGGCAUUUAGGUUGAUUCCAUGUCUUUGUUAUUGUGAAUAGUGCUGCAAUGAACAUUCACAUGCAUGUGUCUUUAUGGUGAAAACAAAUUAUGGUGGGAACACAUUUUUGCAGUAUACAAAUAUUCUCAACAGAUUCUCUCAGUAAUUGUGUCUGAAAAAAGUGUUUAUUAUUCCUUGAUUUUUAUGGAUAUUUAGUCAAAUAUUCUAUAGAAUCCUGAUUUAACAGCUUACUUUUUAAGCUCUUUAAGGAUGUGGUACCAUUGUUAUUUGCUCUGCAGUUUUUAAAAAUAAAAAGCAGCACAUGC